rnacentral:rRNA from 1 species
CCAAUAGCGUAUAUUAAAGUUGUUGCAGUUAAAAAGCUCGUAGUUGAAUUUCGGGAUCAAUAUGUUGGUCGUGCCUAGGUAUGUACUGGCAUUAUUGGUUUCUCCCUUCUGAAGAACCACGAUGCCAUUAAUUUGGUGUCGUGGGGAAUCAGGACUGUUACUUUGAAAAAAUUAGAGUGUUUAAAGCAGGCUCGCGCUUGAAUACAUUAGCAUGGAAUAAUGAAAUAGGACGUUUGAUUCUAUUUUGUUGGUUUCUAGGAUCGACGUAAUGAUUAAGAGGGAUAGUUGGGGGCAUUAGUAUUCAAUUGUCAGAGGUGAAAUUCUUGGAUUUAUUGAAGACUAACUACUGCGAAAGCAUUUGCCAAGGAUGUUUUCAUUAAUCAAGAACGAAAGUUAGGGGAUCGAAGACGAUCAGAUACCGUCGUAGUCUUAACCAUAAACUAUGCCGACUAGGGAUCGGAUGAUGUUAAUUUUUUAAUGACUCAUUCGGCGCCUUACG